rnacentral:rRNA from 1 species
UGGCGGACGGGUGAGUAAUGUCUGGGAAACUGCCCGAUGGAGGGGGAUAACUACUGGAAACGGUAGCUAAUACCGCAUAACGUCGCAAGACCAAAGAGGGGGACCUUAGGGCCCCUUGCCAUCGGAUGUGCCCAGAUGGGAUUAGCUAGUAGGUGGGGUAACGGCUCACCUAGGCGACGAUCCCUAGCUGGUCUGAGAGGAUGACCAGCCACACUGGAACUGAGACACGGUCCAG